CCCUUUGUGGUGUAGUUGGUAUCACACUGGACUGUAAUAGCUGUUUCAGAUCAUCCAUUGGUCACCGGUUCGACUCCGGUCGAAGGGA